AGGAGAGAACAGAAAGAUGAACUACUUGAAAACGACCAUGAUGAGGAUACACAUUCUAGUGACUGCACUAUAGAGACAGAAACAACAAUUCAUCAAAAAUCAGAUACGAAAAGUAAACGUUAUUCACCAGGCGAACACCUUACAGCUAAUGACUCUAUAACGGUAUCGUUCAAGCCAGGAAAAGUACCCUUUUCUAUUGAAGGCACAACAGAUCCUGACAGAUCAAGGUACAGGAGCGUGAUCUACAAGUAGCAUAUUUGAGCACUAAAU